rnacentral:rRNA from 1 species
AGAACCCCGGCGAGGGGAGUGAAAAAGAACCUGAAACCGUGUACGUACAAGCAGUAGGAGCCCACUGGUUGGGUGACUGCGUACCUUUUGUAUAAUGGGUCAGCGACUUAUAUUCUGUAGCAAGGUUAACCGUAUAGGGGAGCCGCAGGGAAACCGAGUCUUAACUGGGCGUUAAGUUGCAGGGUAUAGACCCGAAACCCGGUGAUCUAGCCAUGGGCAGGUUGAAGGUUGGGUAACACUAACUGGAGGACCGAACCGACUAAUGUUGAAAAAUUAGCGGAUGACUUGUGGCUGGGGGUGAAAGGCCAAUCAAACCGGGAGAUAGCUGGUUCUCCCCGAAAGCUAUUUAGGUAGCGCCUCGUGAACUCAUCUUCGGGGGUAGAGCACUGUUUCGGCUAGGGGGUCAUCCCGACUUACCAACCCGAUGCAAACUACGAAUACCGAAGAAUGUUAUCACGGGAGACACACGGCGGGUGCUAACGUCCGUCGUGAAGAGGGAAACAACCCAGACCGCCAGCUAAGGUCCCAAAGUCAUGGUUAAGUGGGAAACGAUGUGGGAAGGCCCAGACAGCCAGGAUGUUGGCUUAGAAGCAGCCAUCAUUUAAAGAAAGCGUAAUAGCUCACUGGUCGAGUCGGCCUGCGCGGAAGAUGUAACGGGGCUAAACCAUGCACCGAAGCUGCGGCAGCGACGCUUAUGCGUUGUUGGGUAGGGGAGCGUUCUGUAAGCCGUUGAAGGUGUGCUGUGAGGCAUGCUGGAGGUAUCAGAAGUGCGAAUGCUGACAUAAGUAACGAUAAAGCGGGUGAAAAGCCCGCUCGCCGGAAGACCAAGGGUUCCUGUCCAACGUUAAUCGGGGCAGGGUGAGUCGACCCCUAAGGCGAGGCCGAAAGGCGUAGUCGAUGGGAAACAGGUUAAUAUUCCUGUACUCGGUGUUACUGCGAAGGGGGGACGGAGAAGGCUAUGUUGGCCGGGCGACGGUUGUCCCGGUUUAAGCAUGUAGGCGGAUGUUCCAGGUAAAUCCGGAACGUUAUUAACGCUGAGGUGUGAUGACGAGGCACUACGGUGCUGAAGUGACAAAUGCCCUGCUUCCAGGAAAAGCCUCUAAGCAUCAGGUAACAUCAAAUCGUACCCCAAACCGACACAGGUGGUCAGGUAGAGAAUACCAAGGCGCUUGAGAGAACUCGGGUGAAGGAACUAGGCAAAAUGGUGCCGUAACUUCGGGAGAAGGCACGCUGAUGGUAGGUGAAGCGACUUGCUCGUGGAGCUGAAAUCAGUCGAAGAUACCAGCUGGCUGCAACUGUUUAUUAAAAACACAGCACUGUGCAAACACGAAAGUGGACGUAUACGGUGUGACGCCUGCCCGGUGCCGGAAGGUUAAUUGAUGGGGUUAUCCUCGCGGAGAAGCUCUUGAUCGAAGCCCCGGUAAACGGCGGCCGUAACUAUAACGGUCCUAAGGUAGCGAAAUUCCUUGUCGGGU